rnacentral:rRNA from 1 species
CGUGUAGGCGGCUAGGUAAGUCAGAUGUGAAAGCCCCAGGCUCAACCUGGGAAGUGCAUUUGAAACUGCUUGGCUAGAGUGAGGGAGAGGAAAGUGGAAUUCCUGGUGUAGAGGUGAAAUUCGUAGAUAUCAGGAGGAACACCCGUGGCGAAGGCGGCUUUCUGGCCCUUUUCUGACGCUGAGACGCGAAAGCGUGGGGAGCAAACAGGAUUAGAUACCCUGGUAGUCC